rnacentral:rRNA from 1 species
GAGCUUUUAGCUCUAGUGGCGGACGGGUGAGUAACACGUGAGAAUCUGCCCUUAGGAGGAGGAUAACAGCUGGAAACGGUUGCUAAUACUCCAUAUGCCGAGAGGUGAAAGGAUUUAUCCACCUAAGGAGGAGCUCGCGUCUGAUUAGCUAGUUGGUAGGGUAAAGGCCUACCAAGGCGACGAUCAGUAGCUGGUUUGAGAGGAUGAUCAGCCACACUGGGACUGAGACACGGCCCAGACUCCUACGGGAGGCAGCAGUAGGGAAUUUUCCGCAAUGGGCGAAAGCCUGACGGAGCAAUACCGCGUGAGGGAUGACGGCCUGUGGGUUGUAAACCUCUUUUCUCAAGGAAGAAGUUCUGACGGUACUUGAGGAAUAAGCAUCGGCUAACUCUGUGCCAGCAGCCGCGGUAAUACAGAGGAUGCAAGCGUUAUCCGGAAUCACUGGGCAUAAAGCGUCUGUAGGUUGUUUGGUAAGUCUGCUGUUAAAGACUGGGGCUCAACCCCAGAAAAGCAGUGGAAACUGCCGGACUUGAGUGUGGUAGA